AAAAAAAGAAAACAGAAGUUAUGUUCAAGGUCAAAUUAUUUCCACAUACAAUUUAAGGGCAGGGGGAGAAUAAGCAAAAGGAGCAGAUGCCUCAGUUCCCAAAACCAUGACAGAAAAACCACUGGAAAAAAUACCUACUGAAUUCCAAUAUGGACAGGGAUCCACAGAAAGGGAUGGGGAACUUGGAGGCUCCCAAUUUGUGCACAGCUGAUUCAAAGCCAGGGUUUGGAGUUCAUGAGAAGGGGACAUGACCUGUUCACUCUAAGAGACUGAGGACAGCUGGAGAAGGCCACAUUUUGGAGUUGACAGAGUUCACUGGUUGUCUGCCUUUCUCUUCUUGGAACAGCCACUCCAAAAAGCCUUUACAAACUUUCUAGCAUGGUGAUGAGGUCCUCAGCUUGGAAGAAUAAACUAAGAGCACUCUUGCUGCAAAGCUGCUGUUCUCCUCUGCUCCCAAACUGCUCCUACUCCCAGUCAAACCCACAGCUUGCCAGCUGACUUGUGGCUCAUUGCCACAUGCUCCCAGCUUCCUUUACACCUGCCUGGCACUUCCUUGGCCUCCCAAGCAGAGCUAGCACAGAGCACAGAACAGCCCCUUAUGAAGCACCUGGCUUCAGGCACAGACACAACUGCCCCCCAGCCUGAGUAACACCAGGGUGUGGCAUCUCCUGGGGCUCUGAGAGCUCAGAAAGGCAGAGACAGAGACCCAAGGAUGCUCCUUGGCAUUCCCACACCUCCCUCCCAGCUGGGUGUACCUGACAGCCUCCUUCAUAAAUCAUUCAUACUUCUGAAUAAAUACCUCCUCUGUUAUCUUCCUGGUACUAAGGAUUAAUUUUGCAUGAGUCUAUGCCUUUACUAUUCUUCAGCAGUGACAGAAAUUCAUUUCUUGGCCAGAUUUUAUGAAUGAUGUUCCAUAUUUAUUUUUGGAUGACAAAAUCAGGCAUUUAGGCAUCUGUCUUUGGUUCUAACACUAUUUUUCUUCUCUGAUAAACAGUGUGUUGCAAUCUAUCCAUACCUGUAAUUUACAACCUUUUUUGAGUUUAAAAUAAGAUCAUGAUGAACAUUUUAUAUGAAGCAAGGUGGUGAACAGGAGAGUUCAUUGACUUUUCAACCCUGGAAUCACCCAAACAGUUUUACAUUCCAAAUAAAACAUUUGGUAGGUUUCACACCAGUCUUUUACCACGGAAUACCAAAAUGUUGCUGUUGGGAAAAACUGAAUUUAUUAAAGCAGUAUAUUUUAAAAAUUGGCUCCAGCACCACAUAGCUGGCAACAAGGAAAAAGCAAUCUAAGGCAGCAUGUAAAAAACUGUUCUCUAGUUAGACUGUGUAUUUUUAAUAACUGCCUCCAACAGACCACCCUAAGACAAUGAUUGCAAGCACAGAAAGCCUGAUUGUUCAAAGGUCAUGUAAAUAAAACGUAGAUGUUGAAAUGGAACCUCCCACUAUUCACCUCCAACCUAUUCUUUUCAUCUUUUUCUGCUUAUUUUACUUGUUUCUCUCCUGGUGUCCUUCUCAUUGAUGUUUUCCUUCAGUACCACCCUCUUUGCCUCCCAGAACCAGCUGUGCUUUUAGCUUCAAUGGCAGAAUAGGAACUGUUGAGAGAUCUUUUAAUCUUUCACAUGCCACUUGCACAAGGACAGGCUACUCACUACUCAGAGAACUAUGAAAACAGGAAAAAUAGUAGAUUAAUUACGCUGGAUCACUGAAAAAUGCAAGAAUCUCUUACUCCUGUUGUCCUGCAGUAAAAUACAUGAAGUACUUCCUGGCUUAUACUCUCUCUAAAGGAUGUUCACUAAAAGACAGUGUCAAUGUACUGUCAUUUCUUUGGCUUCUUGGGUCCAAGAUUUUGUCAAUGUCUCUUGUUGUAGGCUGAAAUGUAUUACAACUUUAUCAUUAUUUUCCUUACUAAAAAUGAAACAAGUUGCCAAAAUUUCCACGCACCCAUAAUUAACUGCCCCUUUGAGAACAAAGAGGAUGCAUUUUUAAAAUGUUUUUAUUGCCUUAGUAAUGCAUGUUACAAAAAAAAUGUCUUCUGCAGCAAAACACACAAAGAACAGGAAUGAGUGCAAAGCAAACAAAUCAGAAAGUAAAUUAUCUAUGAAACCACUUAUUUCAAUGCAGCAGGGAACAGUAAAGUUUUGAAACAGUUUUUCCUCCACCAGAGAAUGCAGAACUUACUGGAGUUCCUGACAUAAGUCAAAAUAUUGCACUCAACCAAGAUUUCAAUUCCUUCCUCCCAGAGAGACCUACACAUUGUCCUCACAACAUGUUUAUUUUGUUGGAAUAGAAGAAAAACUUAGAAAAACUUUAGUCCUGAGAAAGACUGCAACCUGCUCUGUCGUGCCAAGGCAAUGGCUGUGCAAUGUGCUCUCUUCAAGGGAAAGACAAGGACAAC